rnacentral:rRNA from 1 species
CAAGCCGUUGAUCGGUACGGGUUGUGAGAGCAAGAGCCCGGAGAUGGAACUGAGACAAGGUUCCAGGCCCUACGGGGUGCAGCAGGCGCGAAACCUCCGCAAUGUGAGAAAUCGCGACGGGGGGAUCCCAAGUGCCAUUCUUAACGGGAUGGCUUUUCAUUAGUGUAAAAAGCUUUUGGAAUAAGAGCUGGGCAAGACCGGUGCCAGCCGCCGCGGUAACACCGGCAGCUCUAGUGGUAGCAAUUUUUAUUGGGCCUAAGCGUCCGUAGCCGGUUUAAUAAGUCUCUGGUGAAAUCCUGUAGCUUAACUGUGGGAAUUGCUGGAGAUACUAUUAGACUUGAGACCGGGAGAGGUUAGAGGUACUCCCAGGGUAGAGGUGAAAUUCUGUAAUCCUGGGAGGACCGCCUGUUGCGAAGGCGUCUAACUGGAACGGUUCUGACGGUGAGGGACGAAAGUUAGGGGCGCGAACCGGAUUAGAUACCCGGGUAGUCCUAACUGUAAACGAUGCGGACUUGGUGUUGGGGUGGCUUUGAGCUGCUCCAGUGCCGAAGGGAAGCUGUUAAGUCCGCCGCCUGGGAAGUACGGUCGCAAGACUGAAACUUAA